AAGUCGUAACAAGGUCUCCGUUGGUGAACCAGCGGAGGGAUCAUUACAGAGUUGCAAAACUCCCAACCAUUGUGAACCUACCUCACCGUUGCUUCGGCGGGUGGCCCGCUAACGCGGCGCCGCGUCGGACUCUCCUUCGGGGGAGCCGGCAACCCGUCAGAGGACCGAAACUCUUAGUCAUCUUGGCCUCUCUGAGUAACUUAUACAAUAAGUCAAAACUUUCAACAACGGAUCUCUUGGUUCUG
rnacentral:misc_RNA from 1 species